rnacentral:rRNA from 1 species
UACGUAGGGGGCUAGCGUUGUCCGGAAUCAUUGGGCGUAAAGAGCGCGUAGGCGGCCAGAUAAGUCCGGUGUGAAAGUCACAGGCUCAACCUGUGAAUGCCGCUGGAAACUGUCUGGCUAGAGUCCGGGAGGGGCGAGUGGAAUUCCUGGUGUAGCGGUGAAAUUCGUAGAUAUUAGGAAGAACACCAGUGGCGAAGGCGGCUCACUGGCCCGGUGCUGACGCUGAGGCGCGAAAGCGUGGGGAGCAAACAGG